UUUCCGUAGGUGAACCUGCGGAAGGAUCAUUGUUGUUGCCUUGAAAAGAAUAACCGUUGGGCAUGUGAUUGAACCCUGCCGAGGAGGUGUGAUGCCGCCUCGGCCAAACCGGCACCGGCCUUCAUGCCCUAUCGGGGAGCGUUGGUCCUGUGCUGAAAUACGGCGUGGGUUGACGCCAAGGAACAUGAGAUUUUGUGGUGGUCGGCCGAGCGCUAGGCGAGCGGCCUGCCGUCGUUGCAAAGGAACAUAAGAAGACUCUCGGCAACGGAUAUCUCGGCUCUCGCAUCGAUGAAGAACGUAGCGAAAUGCGAUACGUGGUGUGAAUUGCAGAAUCCCGUGAACCAUCGAGUCUUUGAACGCAAGUUGCGCCCGAGGGACCUGCCCGAGGGCACACCUGCCUCAUGGGCGUUAGAAGCCCAUCCAUGCUCGGGCUCCGAGGCCUGAUGCGGAUCUUGGCCCUCCGAGCCUGUGGGCGCGGUGGGCCGAAGUGUGAUGCUGUCGGAUGGGGCCGCGAGCGUCGAGUGGUGGGCACUGGCUGAGCGCUGCCUCGUGUCCCUUGCCGACAUAGGGCUUUGUCCGACCCCCGAAUGAGGAGCCGGCUGACGCAGCGCCAUGCUGUGCGGCAUCCUCGGACCGAUACCCCAGGUCAGGUGGGGCUACCCGCCGAGUUUAAGCAUAUAAAUAAGC
rnacentral:rRNA from 1 species